AUACGUAGGUGACAAGCGUUAUCCGGAUUUACUGGGCGUAAAGGGCGUGUAGGCGGUCUUGCAAGUCAGAAGUGAAAUUCCUGAGCUCAACUCGGGCGCUGCUUCUGAAACUGCAGGACUUGAGUGCUGGAGGGGAUAGCGGAAUUCCUAGUGGAGCGGUAAAAUGCGCAGAUAUUAGGAAGAACACCGGUGGCGAAGGCGGCUAUCUGGACAGUAACUGACGCUGAGGCGCGAAAGCGUGGGGAGCAAACAGGAUUAGAUACCCUGGUAGUCCACGCUGUAAACGAUGAGUGCUAGGUGUUGGGUAGCGAUACUCAGUGCCGUAGUAAACACAAUAAGCACUCCGCCUGGGGAGUACGUACGCAAGUAUGAAACUUAAAGGAAUUGACGGGG
rnacentral:rRNA from 1 species